rnacentral:rRNA from 1 species
UGGUGAGGAAUAACACGAGGAAACUUGUGCUAAUACUUCAUAAGCCCUUACGGGGAAAGCUUUAUGCGCCAAUGGAUGAGCCCGCACUUGAUUAGCUUGUUGGUAAGGUAAAAGCUUACCAAGGCUACGAUCAAUAGCUGAUCUGAGAGGAUGAUCAGCCACAUUGGGACUGAGACACGGCCCAAACUCCUACGGGAGGCAGCAGUGGGGAAUCUUGCACAAUGGGGGAAACCCUGAUGCAGCGAUGCCGCGUGAGUGAAGAAGGCCUUUGGGUUGUAAAGCUCUUUCGUCGGGGAAGAAAAUGACUGUACCCGAAUAAGAAGGUCCGGCUAACUUCGUGCCAGCAGCCGCGGUAAUACGAAGGGACCUAGCGUAGUUCGGAAUUACUGGGCUUAAAGAGUUCGUAGGUUGUUAAGAAAGUUGGAGGUGAAAUCCCAGAGCUUAACUCUGGAACUGCCUUCAAAACUACAUUUCUUGAGUUUGGUAGAGGAGAGUGGAAUUCCUAGUGUAGAGGUGAAAUUCGUAGAUAUUAGGAGGAACACCAGUGGCGAAGGCGACUCUCUGGGCCAAUACUGACGCUGAGGUUCGAAAGCAUGGGUAGCGAACAGGAUUAGAUACCCUGGUAGUCCAUGCAGUAAACGAUGAGUGCUAGAUGUUGGAAACUUUAGUUUUCAGUAUCGCAGUUAACGCGUUAAGCACU